rnacentral:tRNA from 1 species
AGCUAGCAUGGCACAGUGGUUUGAAUGUUGGACGAUGACUCUGGAGACCGGGGUUCGAUUCCCUGCUUGGCUA